ensembl:lncRNA
CUCUGAGCUAAGGACAUCAACAAGGCUCCCUGGAGAGCAAGUGUCACCCAGCAGGGCUGGUGGCAGGGGACAGCCUGCAAGGGAGCACAAGAAACGCAUGCACUGCACCCACGGACAGGCUUAUAGAAGCACUGCAGCUUGGUUUGUUGAACCAAGGAUUUGAGUUUAUUCCUAGCCUGGAUCAAGAAAGGAAUUUAGCCUUGAUUAGAGGUGUGGUUUAGCUAACUUUACAAGAGGGUUUCUUGUGGAAGAACAGCUGAAACAGUGGACAGGUCAUGCGGAAGGAUGCUAUGCUGUGGGAAGAGACGCCAGGAGAGAUAUUUCUGAGCUAAAGGCAAAUGAGUUGUGUUAUGAGGAAACAGUGAAGGUGAAGAGCUGGUGAGGGGAAAACAGCAAGAAGAGAGACAGCAAGCACAUGGAAGCACUGCCUCCUCUUUGGAUUUCACACCCUGGAUUAUGCUAUCUCCUGAGCUCAGAAUUGGUGAUAAACUUGCGAAAACUUUGCCUGGAAACCAUAGGAAGAGCAAGAGGAUCUUGGCCAGGGAUGGCACCACUGCAAGGAGCCUUCUGAGCUGCCCUGAGCAGAGCUGUGCUCCUCUGGACGCAAUGCGAGCAGAGCAGUGACCUUUCCUCUGCAACCUGGAACAGAUGAGUUUGAGAUUGUUCACAGAGGGUUCAGGGGCACAGGGGAGAAAGGAUAUUUCAUUACCAUUGCCAAGAAAAUCUUUCAAUAAAUGAGAAAUUGCUAUUUGUUUUGUAUUGGACCAGACUGCAUCCAGAUUGCUCCUCUGUUGGAGCCUGGUUGUAUUUCGUUCCGUUUGUGUAACAAUUCUGGCCCUAACUUAAAGGGGUGGGUUUGCAUUUUGAGUGAUUGCCUGGUAAGUGGUAGAAUGGGACCCCUCAGCACAUCCCAUGCAGUACAUGUAGCGUGUACCACUGGGCUGUUUUCAAGGGGGUGGAGUUGUGGGAUAGGGAAAGCACUACAUUUUUCAUGAUACUUAAUACAUUGUGACUCAAAGACCAUUGGGGUCUCAUUUUGGCUUCAGUUCUGCAUUCAACCCAUUACUGACUUCUUACCCUUUCUCUAGAAGUCCUACUGGGUGACACCAUUUUGCACAAAGCAGACAGCUCCGUGAUGUGGCUUAGACUCGCACUACGGGUGGGCGUGCUUAAGUUAGAAUUGAAUAAAAUAUAUCCUAAAUGUGGAGCCAAUAGCUUAUUGUUUAGCUUAUUGUUGCUGAGGAUGCUCCACGUGGGUCCCUUCUGCUUCUGUCACACAGCUAAGAGAAACAAUCAUCUUCUUGGUCCCCAGAGCUGCUGCAAAGAUCUGUGAGCAGCAGCUGACCCCUCAAGAAAGCUGUCAGAGCCCUGUGGGCACCAGCAAGGGCAUCAGGAAUUUUAUUGGCCCUUAGGGCCUCCCUACUCUGCAUGAAGUCAAGGGAUGAAGGCCAGGACAAAAGCCAACUCCUUGCUGUCAUCCUGUUUUGGAGGAUCAAAGGCAGGAGGCAUCCAGGACACAGAGCUUUGCACAGUGGAGCAAAGGAUGGUUUGGGAGCACAUGCCCUGUAUGGCACAGCUGAUAGGUAGGUGCUCAACUGGUGCUUGAACAUAUUUCUCCUUCCCAGGUUCUUCAAGGAUCUCUAUGAAUGGAUAAUGGGGAAGGUAGCUGACAGAAACUGUAGCAGAGACAUGAAAGCAAUACAGGAAGCACCUAAGGAGGAACAACAGCAGGAGACGGUGGGAGAGCUUUUGAACUGCCUGACCUUUCCUACAGGAAGGCAUCCCACAAAAAAAAAGAUGUUUCUUCAACUGCCCCAGAUUCUUCUUUCACUGAAUUUGAAGAGGUUACCAUUUGGGAAAAGUAAAUCUGCAGGGGAAAAAAAAAAAAAAAGGAAAAAGGAAAAAGGAAAAAAAGCAAGAAGCAUAGCUCUUACCCAGCAG